AUUGAACGCUGGCGGAAUGCUUUACACGUGCAAGUCGAACGGCAGCACGGACUUCGGUCUGGUGGCGAGUGGCGAACGGGUGAGUAAUGUAUCGGAACGUGCCCAGUCGUGGGGGAUAACGUAGUGAAAAUUACGCUAAUACCGCAUACGAUCUAUGGAUGAAAGCGGGGGAUCGCAAGACCUCGCGCGAUGUGAGCGGCCGAUAUCAGAUUAGGUAGUUGGUGGGGUAAAGGCCCACCAAGCCAACGAUCUGUAGCUGGUCUGAGAGGACGACCAGCCACACUGGAACUGAGACACGGUCCAGACUCCUACGGGAGGCAGCAGUGGGGAAUUUUGGACAAUGGGCGAAAGCCUGAUCCAGCCAUUCCGCGUGCAGGAUGAAGGCCCUCGGGUUGUAAACUGCUUUUGUACAGAACGAAAAGGUUUCUACUAAUACUAGGAGCUCAUGACGGUACUGUAAGAAUUAGCACCGGCUAACUACGUGCCAGCCGCCGCCGUAA
rnacentral:rRNA from 1 species